CUCUUGGAUAAGCAUCUUUAUUAUGAUUUAUUGUGUAUUGAUAACAAAUCAUAUAUUAUUUUUAUAUUACAUAUUAUAUUAUGCUAUAUAAAUGAAAAUAAAUGGUAAUAAAAAUAUCUCCCAAGUGAGGUAUAGAUCAGAGAGAAUAAAAAAAGAAAAGAAAUACAUGUAGAAAUUGCUCUCUGAGGAGGGUGAGGUAAACAGAUAUUAAGGGGAAAUUUGGGUAAGUUGUAAAAACAAAGCAUAAUUAGAAAUCAAUUUAAAGGGGGCAGCUGGGUAGCUCAGUGGAUUGAGAGUCAGGUCUAGAGAUGGAAGGUCUUGGUUUCAAAUGGGACAUCAGAUACUUUCUAGUUGUGUGACCCUGGGCAAGUCACUUAAAACCAAUUGUUUGGUCCUUACUCCUCUUCUGUGAAACCAAUACACAGUUAUAUAAAAUACCAAUUAAAAAAAUUCAUUGAAAGAAAACUGUUUUUUUAAAAGAAUAUAUGAUGGGGCCAAGCCAAAAUGGGCUACCAUGCUUUGCCUAUUGACCUUUAAAGGAAAGUUGGGUCUCUGAGAAAGCAACCCAGAGAAUUGAAAAGAUUUAGAAGUCUACAUGAGUAACACUGGAGAUUAGAGGUAGGGAUGGAAUGGGGGUGGUGGUAUGUCAUUAAAUGCCAUUCCUUUGAAGUCUAAUACUGGGGAAUUCCAACCACAAUCUGAGAUUUUGAGGUGGAGGUGAGAAGUAAGAAAAAAAUGAGAGAAGGAAAAAAAUAAUGACUGAAAGGCAAGAGGAAGAGAAGAAAGAAGAAAAGGAAGGAAGGAAGGAAGGAAGGAAGGAAGGAAGGAAGGAAGGAAGGAAGGAAGGAAGGAAGGAAGGAAGGAAGGAAGGAAGGAAGGAAGGAAGGAAGGAAGGAAGGAAGGAAGGAAGGAAGGAGCAUUGAAGAACUCCAAAAUUAAUUAGCUUGCAGUGUAUCAAGAACAAGUGAAUUCAAGUUGACAAAUAGGAACAAGUACAAACUGUUCUGAAUUGGGCAUAAAUACGCCCACUCCCCCUCACAUUCAUGUGGCUGUGAGUUCCAACCAGGAGAAGGAUAUUUAGAAACCAAGCAGAUAUUUGAAAAUCCUUUCUCGGAGUAGAGUUGGAGGAUUUUCUCAGGGAACUGCCUUUCCCUUUCUGGACUCAUUACUCUCUUGGACUCCGAGCAAAAUUGCAGAGAUUGGGCUCUGUCAAAGAACUCGGCAAUUUGUAAACUAGAAGAAUGGGGUGCCCCAUAAGAGGCUGUGUGGAUUCCAUCCUUGGACAUCUUCAAGGGUUAGUCUGUUAUCUGGGCUGGAGGAAGGGCUAACUGUGAGCCAUCAGGGAUUCCUCCCAACAAACCUUUCAGCUCACCGCCUCCUCUCUUCACCAGCUAAUCUCAGCUGCACUAAGGUGGUGGGAAAGGAAUUUUUGCCCUUCUCAGUAGGAUUUACAUUUUUUUUAAGGCAACUCUAGGGGUAACCCAAAGGUACAAACCCAAGGGCCAUUUCUCAGUUCUCAUCUUUUACCUCUUGGCAGAAUUUUACCUUAUUUCCCAGCCAGUCCUUCUGGGUAUUCUUUUCUCUUUGGGUUUUCGUGGCCAUGCCUUUUCUUGAUUGUCCUCCUUCUUGUCUGGCUAUUCCUCAGUAUCCUUUGCAGGAUUAUUAUCUGUAUCUGCCCUCUUACUUUGGGUAUAACCCAAGGCUUAGAAAUAAGGUACAUGUUUCUUUUCUCUCUAUGGUCUCCCAGGAAUCCCAUUAGUUCAGUGACAUUUCCUAUGUAGAUGUUUCUCAGGUCUGUCUCCAGUUCUACUAUCUCUGAAUUGACAAAUAUUAUUAAAUACCUAUUAUGUGGGGCAGCUAGGUAGAUAGAGAGCCAGUCCUGGAGAUGGGAAGUCUUGGGUUCAAAUCUGACCUCAGACACUUUCUAGUUGUGUGGCCCUGGUAAGUCACUUAACUCCAAUUGCCUAGCCCUUACCACUCUUCUGCCUUGGAACUCAUUCUUAGUAUUGAUUCUAAGGCAGACAGUAACAGUAAUUAAAAAAUAAUUCAAUCAAUAUAAGUUAUUAAUUCCUAGGCAAAAGAGCAGCAAGGGUUAGGCAACUGGAGGUAAGUGACUUGUCUAGGAUCAUACAGCUAGGAAGUGUGUGAAUCCAGAGUUGAACUCAGGACCUCCCAUCUCCAGGCCUGGCAUUCUAACCACUGAGCCACCUGGUUUACAAAAAUUUAAUUCAGACAGAAAUAUUAUAACAAAAUAAGGAUACAAUAAAACAAAGAUAUUUCAUUCUUUAAUAUUUUAC
rnacentral:lncRNA from 1 species